UACAGAGGUCUCAAGCGUUGUUCGGAUUCAUUGGGCGUAAAGGGUGCGUAGGUGGCGGGGUAAGUCAGGUGUGAAAUCUCGGGGCUCAACCCCGAAACUGCACUUGAUACUGCCUUGCUCGAGUACUGGAGAGGAGAUUGGAAUUUACGGUGUAGCAGUGAAAUGCGUAGAUAUCGUAAGGAAGACCAGUGGCGAAGGCGAAUCUCUGGACAGUUACUGACACUGAGGCACGAAGGCCAGGGGAGCAAACAGG
rnacentral:rRNA from 1 species